CAUUUUAAUUUUUAACUCUAUUUGUUGUUAUAUUACUUUUUUUUUAUUCUUUUUUAUGUUUUUUUUUGUAAAAUGUUUUGAUUUUUUUGUAUUUUUUUGUAAUAUUUAAAAUUUGUUUUUUGAACUGGAUUAGUACCCAGGUAAUCAAAGUUUAUUAAUUCGGGAGUAAAGUUUUGUUUAAACCGAAAAAAUAUUGACUGACUUUAGAUUUUUCUUUGGAAUAUGUGUUUUUGGAGAGCCCUCUUUUUUGGUGAAUUUUAUUGGCACAUGUAUGAUUGUUUAGUUUUUAUGUUAUUUGUGUUGCUUUUUUGUUUUUUUGCAUUUAAAACAGAUAUAUAUUUGGCUUAUAAAUUUAUUUUUC
rnacentral:rRNA from 1 species